rnacentral:rRNA from 1 species
AUUGAACGCUGGCGGCAGGCCUAACACAUGCAAGUCGAGCGGCAGCACAAGGGAGUUUACUCCUGAGGUGGCGAGCGGCGGACGGGUGAGUAAUGCCUAGGGAUCUGCCCAGUCGAGGGGGAUAACAGUUGGAGACGACUGCUAAUACCGCAUACGCCCUACGGGGGAAAGAGGGGGACCUUUAGGCCUCCCGCGAUUGGAUGAACCUAGGUGGGAUUAGCUAGUUGGUGAGGUAAUGGCUCACCAAGGCGACGAUCCCUAGCUGUUCUGAGAGGAUGAUCAGCCACACUGGGACUGAGACACGGCCCAGACUCCUACGGGAGGCAGCAGUGGGGAAUAUUGCACAAUGGGGGAAACCCUGAUGCAGCCAUGCCGCGUGUGUGAAGAAGGCCUUCGGGUUGUAAAGCACUUUCAGUAGGGAGGAAAGGGUGAGUCUUAAUACGGCUCAUCUGUGACGUUACCUACAGAAGAAGGACCGGCUAACUCCGUGCCAGCCGCCGCCGUAA